UUAACGGAGAGUUUGAUCCUGGCUCAGGAUGAACGCUGGCGGCAUGCCUAAUACAUGCAAGUCGUGCGGGGGUCUUCGGACCCUAGCGGCGAACGGGU
rnacentral:ncRNA from 1 species